CUUUCCUCGGGCGGGAUCGGUGUCGUGGCUGACGUUGAAGUACACUGGGGUCACAGCGCUUCACCGCAGACCGCACUAUCCCGCCCUCCUGAU
rnacentral:sRNA from 1 species